rnacentral:rRNA from 1 species
GCUUAAUCCUUAACACAAGUAGUACUAAUACAAUACUAUUCGCCAGAGAACUACAAGCGAAAAGCUAAAAACUCCAAGGACUUGGCGGUGCUUCAAACCAACCUAGAGGAGCCUGUCCUAUAAUCGAUACCCCACGUUUUACCUUACCCCCUAUAGUACUAAUCAGCCUAUAUACCGCCGUCGAAAGCCUACCCUAUGAAAGAAGAACAGUAGGCAAAAUAAUCAAUACUUAACACGUCAGGUCAAGGUGUAGCAUAUGAGAGGGCAGAGAUGGGCUACAUUCUCUAAACAGCAGACAAAAGGUGUGUUGAAACACUCACCUGAAGGCGGAUUUAGCAGUAAGGCGGGCAAGAAAACCCCCCUUAAACCUGCUCUGAAGCGCGCACACACCGC